AUGAGAAUGUUCACUCGAAGGAGCACUACAAGGACCCGCCUGAAGAGACUGAUAGAUAUCAAACAUUUACCUAAAUUCUUCAAAUUGCUUUGCCAAUUCAUCUAUCCGCGCAUUAGCUCGUGCAUCCUCUUCAUGUGCAGCAGCAACUUCAGCUCUGGCAACCUCAAUGGCUUGGCUAUCUGCUUCUCUAUUGGGGUGUGUAAUUGA